CACCUGGGGGUCUUGUUAAAAUGCAGAUUCUGACCCAAUAGGGCCUUGGAAUCUGCAUUUAUAAUAAGCUCCCUACUUA
rnacentral:miRNA from 1 species